CCAGACUCCUACGGGAGGCAGCAGUGGGGAAUAUUGCACAAUGGGGGAAACCCUGAUGCAGCAACGCCGCGUGAGUGAAGAAGUAUUUCGGUAUGUAAAGCUCUAUCAGCAGGGAAGAAAAUGACAGUACCUGACUAAGAAGCCCCGGCUAACUACGUGCCAGCAGCCGCGGUAAUACGUAGGGGGCAAGCGUUAUCCGGAUUUACUGGGUGUAAGGGGAGCGUAGACGGCUGCGCAAGUCAGAAGUGAAAGCCCGGGGCUCAACCGCGGGACUGCUUUUGAAACUGUGUAGCUAGAGUGCAGGAGAGGUAAGUGGAAUUCCUAGUGUAGCGGUGAAAUGCGUAGAUAUUAGGAGGAACACCGGUGGCGAAGGCGGCCUGCUGGACUGUAACUGACGUUGAGGCUCGAAAGCGUGGGGAGCAAACAGGAUUAGAUACCCCGGUAGC
rnacentral:rRNA from 1 species